rnacentral:rRNA from 1 species
UCCGUAGGCGGGCAAUUAAGUCAGAGGUGAAAUCCCACAGCUCAACUGUGGAACUGCCUUUGAUACUGGUUGUCUUGAGUUACAGUGAAGUAGAUAGAAUAUGUAGUGUAGCGGUGAAAUGCAUAGAUAUUACAUAGAAUACCGAUUGCGAAGGCAGUCUGCUAACUGUAUACUGACGCUAAUGGACGAAAGCGUGGGGAGCGAACAGGAUUAGAUACCCUGGUAGUCC